GCCAGGCGUGGUGGCUCACGCCUGUAAUCCCAGUGGCUCAGGAGGCUGAGACAGAAGGGUCACGAGUUCAAAGCCAGCCUCAGCAAAAUUGAGGCAUAAGCAACUCAGUGAGACCCUGUUUCUA
rnacentral:sRNA from 1 species